CACCCCCAUCCCCUGACAUGAGAAACACUGGUCCACGGCUGAGACCAUACCCCCUCCUUCCAGGCCCCGCCUCCUAAAGUCCGACACUCUCACCUGUUUAGUGAGAUCAGCAGGCAGCGCAGUACAGAGCCGUGCAGGCAGUGCAGUGGCCGACCCUCCCCUUUCCUCCAGAGUCCGGACACUCUCUCCUCACUCGGGUCCUGAGCCUGACACACACAAGCUCCGCCUCCCACACUAUACUACAGGAGGAAGGAGCUGCUGGUGAUGUGCUGCAUGAUGCCAGCCAGGACAAACCUGAAAUCUGGAGGUUCCCGGCUAAUAGGGAAGAAGUAAAGAUUAAUCUAUGAACUUUAAAAAAUCAUGAAGAUAUUAAUCCCAUUGAAACUAGUGAUUUUAACCAUAUGAGAAGUACAUUGAAAGAGUGAAUUACAUUAACACAGUGGAUUUCGAGGGACCGAAAGUAAAUGUCACUUCCGGCGUGGUGCGUUCCAAGUGUAUUCCAGUUCCUGGAGAUGCGUUCCACAGCCGUACAUAUAUGAUCUACCAAGUCUAUGAAGCAGAAUGAAGGCUCCUUAUCUCUUGACGUUUGAGAAGAUUUUUAUUUAGCUUUUUGUAAAAGAUACAGGAAAAAAAAUAUAAUUUCAUACGUCUGGUUAGAAACAUACAACUGUGAGUUCCAAGUGCGUACAGACCAUGAGGUCUUGCGUUCCACAGUCCCUUGUAACGACUCAGUUAGGAAUCAGUAGCCGGAAGUGUGUGUUACUUCCGGCGGGGUGCGUCACAAGUGUGCUCCAAGUUCCGUAGUAUGCGUUCCACGGCUGUACAAAGUUGUUUUUAUGAGGUUUUAUAAGAUAUAACAAUGAUUUACUCCUUUUUGAGAUUGUUAUAAGAUUUAUGUGCUACUAAAACAUUAUCCAUUGCUAGAGGUUAUAGAAAUUACUCAUCCAACUUAAAGACAAGCCACCCAUAUAUUGUUUUACAUAUUUUCUUAAAUGUCCACUAGUGGAAUAGAGUCAAGCAUAUGUUUAUUUUCUGAUUUUAAAUGUGACUUAUGAAUUAGAUUUAUUGUGUUAAUUGAUGCAUGACCUUUGACCAGGAAGCACUUUACCUCCAUACUAUAUAGCUCUGUUUAGGAAUCCCACUGUCACAUUGCCCUGACAAAGAGCAUUUGCUCGAUACGCGUUGGGCUGUGACAGGUGAAUUGAUGGUAGGAGUGGAUAAAGCGCGGAAUUUCGUAUUCAGUAACUUAGCGGAGGUCCAGCAAAUCCGGAACCUGUACUUCCAUUUAGAUCUACGUGCUCUUCUUUGAUUGCGAUCUGGUAACGCCUCCACUAUAUACCUUACUGAAUUUGUUUUUAUGUAACCAGUAUCUGUGUAAUAAAUUGUGUAAAUGUGAUUACACUAUGUGCGAUAUUAAUUUCCUUUUCCACAUGUUCAAGUGACCUUGAAAGUAUUGAAGUCAACACUCGGGACCUGUAUUCUACAUGCCUAGAUUAUAUAUCAGUCCGGUAAAGCCUCCAUUUUAUUAAAUGUAUGCUAUGGAUACACUUGAAAGUACCUACACUUUAUUAAAUUGCUAUACAAAUCC